rnacentral:rRNA from 1 species
CCUUAGAGACGCUGCGGCGUGCUUAACACAUGCAAGUCGAACGAUGAUCUCCAGCUUGCUGGGGGGAUUAGUGGCGAACGGGUGAGUAACACGUGAGUAACCUGCCCUUGACUCUGGGAUAAGCCUGGGAAACUGGGUCUAAUACCGGAUACGACCGUCCCGCGCAUGCGGUGGUGGUGGAAAGCUUUUGCGGUUUUGGAUGGACUCGCGGCCUAUCAGCUUGUUGGUGGGGUAAUGGCCUACCAAGGCGACGACGGGUAGCCGGCCUGAGAGGGUGACCGGCCACACUGGGACUGAGACACGGCCCAGACUCCUACGGGAGGCAGCAGUGGGGAAUAUUGCACAAUGGGCGAAAGCCUGAUGCAGCGACGCCGCGUGAGGGAUGACGGCCUUCGGGUUGUAAACCUCUUUCAGUAGGGAAGAAGCGAAAGUGACGGUACCUGCAGAAGAAGCGCCGGCUAACUACGUGCCAGCAGCCGCGGUAAUACGUAGGGCGCAAGCGUUAUCCGGAAUUAUUGGGCGUAAAGAGCUCGUAGGCGGUUUGUCGCGUCUGCUGUGAAAGACCGGGGCUCAACUCCGGUUCUGCAGUGGGUACGGGCAGACUAGAGUGAUGUAGGGGAGACUGGAAUUCCUGGUGUAGCGGUGAAAUGCGCAGAUAUCAGGAGGAACACCGAUGGCGAAGGCAGGUCUCUGGGCAUUAACUGACGCUGAGGAGCGAAAGCAUGGGGAGCGAACAGGAUUAGAUACCCUGGUAGUCCAUGCCGUAAACGUUGGGCACUAGGUGUGGGGGACAUUCCACGUUUUCCGCGCCGUAGCUAACGCAUUAAGUGCCCCGCCUGGAGAC